UACAGAGGUGGCGAGCGUUGUUCGGAUUUACUGGGCGUAAAGGGCGCGUAGGCGGCCAGGUGUGUGGGGUGUGAAAUCUCCGGGCUCAACCCGGAAAGUGCGCCCCAAACUGCCUGGCUCGAGUUCGGGAGGGGGGAUCGGAAUGCAGGGUGUAGCGGUGAAAUGCGUUGAUAUCCUGCAGAACACCGGUGGCGAAGGCGGAUCCCUGGAACGAUACUGACGCUGAGGCGCGAAAGCAGGGGGAGCAAACAGG
rnacentral:rRNA from 1 species